GAAAAUGAUGAUUGCUAUUGUCGCCCCAGUCUUACUUUGCAUAAAUUAAAUGUCUUUAUAGGCAAAGUUGGUGAUUGACAUCCAUAUAUGAUUU